rnacentral:rRNA from 1 species
AUUGAACGCUGGCGGCAUGCCUUACACAUGCAAGUCGAACGGUAACGGGCCUUCGGGUGCCGACGAGUGGCGAACGGGUGAGUAAUACAUCGGAACGUGCCCGAUCGUGGGGGAUAACGAGGCGAAAGCUUUGCUAAUACCGCAUACGAUCUACGGAUGAAAGCAGGGGACCGCAAGGCCUUGCGCGGACGGAGCGGCCGAUGGCAGAUUAGGUAGUUGGUGGGAUAAAAGCUUACCAAGCCGACGAUCUGUAGCUGGUCUGAGAGGAUGAUCAGCCACACUGCGACUGAGACACGGCCCAGACUCCUACGGGAGGCAGCAGUGGGGAAUUUUGGACAAUGGGCGCAAGCCUGAUCCAGCCAUGCCGCGUGCAGGAUGAAGGCCUUCGGGUUGUAAACUGCUUUUGUACGGAACGAAAAGCCUUCUUUUAAUACAGGAGGGUCAUGACGGUACCGUAAGAAUAAGCACCGGCUAACUACGUG